rnacentral:lncRNA from 1 species
AAGAAGGACAUGUUUGCUUCCCCUUCUACCAUGAUUAAGAAAAAGAAGACAUCUGCAACCUGGACUUCAGACAUGGUGGUAAUUAAACUGGGGGAACGCUGAAAUCCUGCAACGGUAGCUUUAAUUCACUUUUCCAAUUAUAAUUGCUAGAAGAUAUCACCAAAAUACUACACCACCACCUUGGCAGCACUGUCCACAGAACUUUCUGCAAUGACAAAUACCUCUGUUGUGUAGUGCCCAGCAGUCGCCAUGAGCCCUGUGUGCCUGCUGAGCACACGGAGAUAUGGCUGGUGCUACUGAGAGGUCACAGUUGCACCUUUUCUUAUUUCCACUUAGUUUAAAUUCAAACAGCCAUAGCUAGCUAGUGACUACCAUUUAGACAAAGCAGAGUUAGCACAUGAGGAAGUGGUGCGAGCAAAGUCCUGCAGGCUGGACUUAUGACCACCACCAC